rnacentral:rRNA from 1 species
GAUGAACGCUAGCUACAGGCUUAACACAUGCAAGUCGAGGGGCAGCAUUGGAGUAGCAAUACUUCAGAUGGCGACCGGCGCACGGGUGAGUAACACGUAUCCAACCUGCCGCUUACUCGGGGAUAGCCUUUCGAAAGAAAGAUUAAUACCCGAUGGUAUAAAGAGUUCGCAUGUUCUCUUUAUUAAAGAAUUUCGGUAAGCGAUGGGGAUGCGUUCCAUUAGAUAGUUGGCGGGGUAACGGCCCACCAAGUCUACGAUGGAUAGGGGUUCUGAGAGGAAGGUCCCCCACAUUGGAACUGAGACACGGUCCAAACUCCUACGGGAGGCAGCAGUGAGGAAUAUUGGUCAAUGGGCGGAGCCUGAACCAGCCAAGUAGCGUGAAGGAUGACUGCCCUAUGGGUUGUAAACUUCUUUUAUAAGGGAAUAAAGUGAGGGACGUGUCCCUUUUUGAUGUACCUUAUGAAUAAGGAUCGGCUAACUCCGUG